AAACCGCUUAGGGGUUAAGCCCGAUGAACCUGAAUAUCUGAAUUGAGAAAUUCAAUAUUAUUUUAUUGUUUAUUUUUUUUUAAAUAAUAAAUGGUAUGCACUUUUCUCAUAGUAAGACAUUGCGAUCCAUUAGUAUAAUUUGUUUAUCAAACGGCCCAUUUGUUUAGUUUAUUCUAUCUGUGAUAAUUUUUAAUUGUCAUAUGAAUAAUAGCAUAUCGGUGACCUGAUAAACAGCUGAUGGAGCUUAAAAAUCAUGCAAGCAUGUAUAUGUAUCACGGUUUAUGUAUAUUUUAUAUAUGAACGCAGUGAUAGCAUGUAUUUGAUUAGCAAUGCGAUAGAUUUGGGAUACCUUCGGGACCCGUCUUGAAACACGGACCAAGAAGUCUAACAUGUGUGCAAGUCAUUGGGUAUAUUGUUGAAACCUAAAGGCGAAAUUAAAAUAACUAUUUUUAUGGGAUUACAAGCAAUUUUUAUAAGAUUGUUUCUCCAUCCCGGGGCGUUCUAUACGAACAUGAUUUAAGCAAUUAGAUCCGCUGUUCAAGAGCGUACCUUGAGCAUACAUGCUGUGACCCGAAAGAUGGUGAACUAUACCUGAUCAGGUUGAAGUCAGGGGAAACCCUGAUGGAGGACUGAAGCAGUUCUGACGUGCAAAUCGAUUGUCAGAAUUGGGUAUAGGGGCGAAAGACUAAUCGAACCAUCUAGUAGCUGGUUCCCUCCGAAGUUUCCCUCAGGAUAGCUGGUGCAAUGAGAAAUCUAAUAUAUAAUCUUAUCUGGUAAAGCGAAUGAUUAGAGGCCUUGGGGCCGAAACGACCUCAACCUAUUCUCAAACUUUAAAUGGGUAAGAACCUCAUCUUUCUUGAUCUGAAGAUAUAGGGGUUUAGAUAUAUUGUGCCCAGUGGGCCACUUUUGGUAAGCAGAACUGGCGCUGUGGGAUGAACCAAACGUGAUGUUACGGCGCCUAAAUUAAUGACUCAUAUUGAUACCAUGAAAGGCGUUGGUUGCUUAAAACAGCAGGACGGUGGACACGGAAGUCGUAAUCCGCUAAGGAGUGUGUAACAACUCACCUGCCGAAGCAACUAGCCCUUAAAAUGGAUGGCGCUCAAGUCAUAUGCCUAUACAUCACCGCUAGAAUAAAGAGAUUUUUUCUUUUUUGAAAAAAAUCUAUCAAAUUCUAGUGAGUAGGAGGGUACAAUGGUGUGCGCAGAAGUGUUUGGCGUGAGCCUGCAUGGAGCCGCCAUUGGCACAGAUCUUGGUGGUAGUAGCAAAUAAUCGAAUGAGAUCUUGGAGGACUGAAGUGGAGAAGGGUUUCGUGUGAACAGUGGUUGAUCACGAGUUAGUCGGUCCUAAGCUCUAUGCGAAAGCUGUUUAAUUUAUGUU
rnacentral:rRNA from 1 species